ensembl:rRNA 5S_rRNA 5S ribosomal RNA
GGCUAUACCACCCUGAACGCACCUAAACUAGUCUGAUCUUGGAAGCUAAGCAGAACCAAGCCUGAUUAGUGCUUGGAUGGCACAGAAUCUGCAUAUUCACAAGUUCCUGGGGAUCUCUGGUGCU